rnacentral:tRNA from 1 species
GACUUCAUGUCGCAAUGGUAGCGCGUCAAACUCCAGAUCAGAAAGUUGCGUUUUCAAAUUACGUCGGGGUCA